rnacentral:misc_RNA from 1 species
UCUCCGUAGGUGAACCUGCGGAGGGAUCAUUACCGAGUGAGGGUCCUUGUGGCCCGACCUCCAACCCUUUGUGAAUCGUACUCGUUGCUUCGGGGGCGACCCUGCCGUUUCGACGGCGAGCGCUCCCGAAGGUCUCCAAACACUGCAUCUUUGCGUCGGAGUUUAAGUAAAUUAAACAAAACUUUCAACAACGGAUCUCUUGGUUCUGGCAUCGAUGAAGAACGCAGC